rnacentral:rRNA from 1 species
GACGAACCGUGCAAACGUUGUUCGGAAUCACUGGGCUUAAAGGGCGCGUAGGCGGAGGACCAAGUCCGGGGUGAAAUCUUUCGGCUCAACCGGAAAACUGCCUUGGAUACUGGUCUUCUUGAGGGAGGUAGGGGCAGGUGGAACUUCCGGUGGAGCGGUGAAAUGCGUUGAUAUCGGAAGGAACGCCGGUGGCGAAAGCGGCCUGCUGGAUCUCUUCUGACGCUGAGGCGCGAAAGCUAGGGUAGCGAACGGG